AAAAAAUAUAUUUAAUGUAGAUAUCAUAAAAUAACAUUUCAUCGCAAUGUAUAUUAGAUACUAAAUGUCUGUUAAGUUAGGUUUAAAAUCAAUAAAAAGUAAUUUAAGACUAUAUUGUAGCGCCUUUCAUAGUCUAUGGAAAUCAUUUUUCAGACUUUCUUAAAAUUUCAGUGGGGGAAGCUGUAACCCCUCAUAAAUACUCCUCUGUCCGCAGGUAUAAUAUAGUAAAACUAUAGUUAGGCGUAUUUUCAACGAUGUUACAAUAUUGAAAUUAAAGCGUUUUAACCCGUCAAUUAUCAUUAUAUACUAUCGUUAGCGAUAUCAUACGACCCGUUGUAUUUUUUUCU